GCGCUGGUGCUGGAACUGGCAGACAGGCAUGGUUGAGGGCCAUGUGGGGAAACCCGUGGAGGUUCAAGUCCUCUCCAGCGCA
rnacentral:tRNA from 1 species